AAGGCAGUAGCUCAAUGGUAGAGUAUGAGAUAAAGCACGUUUCAUGUUUGUGGAACAUACAGCAAUUUUUAUUUUUUAUUUCUAAUUUAAUGUGAGUAAAUUGAUGCAGGUUCGAAUCCUGCCUGCCUUA
rfam:Firmicutes bacterium CAG:227 genomic scaffold, scf259